rnacentral:misc_RNA from 1 species
AACUUUCGGCAACGGAUCUCUUGGUUCUGGCAUCGAUGAAGAAAGCAGCGAAAUGCGAUAAGUAAUGUGAAUUGCAGAAUUCAGUGAAUCAUCGAAUCUUUGAACGCACAUUGCGCCCGCCAGUAUUCUGGCGGGCAUGCCUGUUCGAGCGUCAUUUCAACCCUCAAGACCCCUUCGGGGGACUUGGUGUUGGGGACCGGCUGUUCCCGGCCUGCUUCUUGCAGCGCCUUUAUGCCGCCCCCGAAAUGAAUUGGCGGCCUCGUCGCGGCCUCCCCUGCGUAGUAGCACAACCUCGCAACGGGAACGUGACGGCGGCCACUGCCGUAAAACAACCCCAAUUUUAUUAGAGUUGACCUCGAAUCAGGUAGGAAUACCCGCUGAACUUAAGCAUAUCAAUAAGCGGAGGCU